ensembl:lncRNA
GCCACGGCUGUCAAGGAACAGUUGAGGGAACUGGGCUUGUUUAGCUUGGAGAAGAGAAGGCUGCGGGGAGACCUCAUUGUGGCUUUCUGGUACUGAAAGGGAACGUAUAAACAGGAGGGGGAAUGGCUGUUUGUGAGGGUGGACAGUGAUAGGACAAGGGGGAAUGGUUUUAAACUGAGACAGGGGAGGUUUAGGUUGGAGAUGAGGAGGAAGUUUUUCCCCCAGAGGGUGGUGACGCACUGAACAGGUUGCCCAAGGAGGCUGUGGAUGCCCCAUCCCUGCAGGCAUUCAAGGCCAGGCUGGAUGUGGCUCUGGGCAGCCUGGGCUGCUGGUUGGUGACCCUGCACAUAGCAGGGGGUUGGAACUGGAUGAGCAUUGUGGUCCUUUUCAACCCAGGACAUUCUCUGACUCUAUGAUUCUAUGAUUGCCACAGCUGCAUUAUAAAGCUGAAGAUGUUUUCAUUAAUACAAUCUCAUGGGCUUGGGCCAGAGGCACUGCCUUUGCUUUAACCUGAUGUGAAAGGGAGAGUCAGUUCAAGGCUGUUUGUAGAGGAAUGUUUGUGCCCUGUGACCCUCUCAGAGCACACAGCCCUCCAUCUCACCCCCAUUCUCAGAGCACAGCAAACAGAACCUGCUCUGCUCCAAGGCCUCUGCAGCCCAAUUAGGACAAAACCAGCAACAAAGGCAAAGUGCUG